rnacentral:sRNA from 1 species
UAUUCUGCCCCCCGGGGAAGGAUGAGAAGCUUCGACCAAGGUUCGACUCGAGCGAAACGAGAGAACGUUGCCGCAGGCAACGGCCCGAAGGGCGAGGCGCUUUAGCGCCGAGUAAUCCUUCCCCCACCACCA